GUGGCUGUAGCUCAAAGGUUAGAGCGCCGGACUGUGGCUCCGGAGGCUGCGGGUUCAAGUCCCGUCAGCCACC
rnacentral:tRNA from 1 species